GCCACUCUAGCUCAGUUGGUAGAGCGAGGCAUUCGUAAUGCCUAGGUCAUCGGUUCAAGUCCGAUGAGUGGCUC
rnacentral:tRNA from 1 species